rnacentral:rRNA from 1 species
GACGAACGCUGGCGGCGUGCUUAACACAUGCAAGUCGAACGGCAAGGCCCUGCUUUUGUGGGGUUCCCGAGUGGCGAAGGGGGGAGUAACACGUGAGUAACCUGCCCUUGACUUUGGGAUAACUUCAGGAAACUGGGGCUAAUACCGGAUCGGAUCCCCUGCUGCAUGGUGAGGGGUGGAAAGUUUGGGCGGUGGGGGAUGGAUGCGCGGCUUUUCGGCUUGUUGGUGGGGUAGUGGCUUACCGAGGCAUUGAAGGGUAGCCGGCCUGAGAGGGUGACCGGGGUCCAUGGGCCUGAGGUAGGGCCCAGAGGGGAACGGGAGACAGCAGUGGCAAGUAUGGCACAAUGGGCGGGAGCGUGAUGCAGCAGCGCCGCGUGUGGGAUGACGUCUUGCGGGGUGUAAACCGCUGCCGCCUGUGACGAAGCGUUAGUGACGGUAAUGAGUAAAGAAGCACCGGCUAACUACGUG